rnacentral:rRNA from 1 species
GAUGAACGCUGGCGGCGUGCCUAAUACAUGCAAGUCGAGCGAACGGACGAGAAGCUUGCUUCUCUGAUGUUAGCGGCGGACGGGUGAGUAACACGUGGAUAACCUACCUAUAAGACUGGGAUAACUUCGGGAAACCGGAGCUAAUACCGGAUAAUAUUUUGAACCGCAUGGUUCAAAAGUGAAAGACGGUCUUGCUGUCACUUAUAGAUGGAUCCGCGCUGCAUUAGCUAGUUGGUAAGGUAACGGCUUACCAAGGCAACGAUGCAUAGCCGACCUGAGAGGGUGAUCGGCCACACUGGAACUGAGACACGGUCCAGACUCCUACGGGAGGCAGCAGUAGGGAAUCUUCCGCAAUGGGCGAAAGCCUGACGGAGCAACGCCGCGUGAGUGAUGAAGGUCUUCGGAUCGUAAAACUCUGUUAUUAGGGAAGAACAUAUGUGUAAGUAACUGUGCACAUCUUGACGGUACCUAAUCAGAAAGCCACGGCUAACUACGUGCCAGCAGCCGCGGUAAUACGUAGGUGGCAAGCGUUAUCCGGAACUAUUGGGCGUAAAGCGCGCGUAGGCGGUUUUUUAAGUCUGAUGUGAAAGCCCACGGCUCAACCGUGGAGGGUCAUUGGAAACUGGAAAACUUGAGUGCAGAAGAGGAAAGUGGAAUUCCAUGUGUAGCGGUGAAAUGCGCAGAGAUAUGGAGGAACACCAGUGGCGAAGGCGACUUUCUGGUCUGUAACUGACGCUGAUGUGCGAAAGCGUGGGGAUCAAACAGGAUUAGAUACCCUGGUAGUCCACGCCGUAAACGAUGAGUGCUAAGUGUUAGGGGGUUUCCGCCCCUUAGUGCUGCAGCUAACGCAUUAAGCACUCCGCCUGGGGAGUACGACCGCAAGGUUGAAACUCAAAGGAAUUGACGGGGACCCGCACAAGCGGUGGAGCAUGUGGUUUAAUUCGAAGCAACGCGAAGAACCUUACCAAAUCUUGACAUCCUUUGACAACUCUAGAGAUAGAGCCUUCCCCUUCGGGGGACAAAGUGACAGGUGGUGCAUGGUUGUCGUCAGCUCGUGUCGUGAGAUGUUGGGUUAAGUCCCGCAACGAGCGCAACCCUUAAGCUUAGUUGCCAUCAUUAAGUUGGGCACUCUAAGUUGACUGCCGGUGACAAACCGGAGGAAGGUGGGGAUGACGUCAAAUCAUCAUGCCCCUUAUGAUUUGGGCUACACACGUGCUACAAUGGACAAUACAAAGGGCAGCGAAACCGCGAGGUCAAGCAAAUCCCAUAAAGUUGUUCUCAGUUCGGAUUGUAGUCUGCAACUCGACUACAUGAAGCUGGAAUCGCUAGUAAUCGUAGAUCAGCAUGCUACGGUGAAUACGUUCCCGGGUCU